AGAGUUUGAUCAUGGCUCAGAUUGAACGCUGGCGGCAGGCCUAACACAUGCAAGUCGAGCGGUAGCACAGAGAGCUUGCUCUCGGGUGACGAGCGGCGGACGGGUGAGUAAUGUCUGGGAAACUGCCUGAUGGAGGGGGAUAACUACUGGAAACGGUAGCUAAUACCGCAUAACGUCGCAAGACCAAAGUGGGGGACCUUCGGGCCUCAUGCCAUCAGAUGUGCCCAGAUGGGAUUAGCUAGUAGGUGGGGUAACGGCUCACCUAGGCGACGAUCCCUAGCUGGUCUGAGAGGAUGACCAGCCACACUGGAACUGAGACACGGUCCAGACUCCUACGGGAGGCAGCAGUGGGGAAUAUUGCACAAUGGGCGCAAGCCUGAUGCAGCCAUGCCGCGUGUGUGAAGAAGGCCUUCGGGUUGUAAAGCACUUUCAGCGGGGAGGAAGGCGGUGAGGUUAAUAACCUCAUCGAUUGACGUUACCCGCAGAAGAAGCACCGGCUAACUCCGUGCCAGCAGCCGCGGUAAUACGGAGGGUGCAAGCGUUAAUCGGAAUUACUGGGCGUAAAGCGCACGCAGGCGGUCUGUCAAGUCGGAUGUGAAAUCCCCGGGCUUAACCUGGGAACUGCAUUCGAAACUGGCAGGCUAGAGUCUUGUAGAGGGGGGUAGAAUUCCAGGUGUAGCGGUGAAAUGCGUAGAGAUCUGGAGGAAUACCGGUGGCGAAGGCGGCCCCCUGGACAAAGACUGACGCUCAGGUGCGAAAGCGUGGGGAGCAAACAGGAUUAGAUACCCUGGUAGUCCACGCCGUAAACGAUGUCGAUUUGGAGGUUGUGCCCUUGAGGCGUGGCUUCCGGAGCUAACGCGUUAAAUCGACCGCCUGGGGAGUACGGCCGCAAGGUUAAAACUCAAAUGAAUUGACGGGGGCCCGCACAAGCGGUGGAGCAUGUGGUUUAAUUCGAUGCAACGCGAAGAACCUUACCUGGUCUUGACAUCCACAGAACUUUCCAGAGAUGGAUUGGUGCCUUCGGGAACUGUGAGACAGGUGCUGCAUGGCUGUCGUCAGCUCGUGUUGUGAAAUGUUGGGUUAAGUCCCGCAACGAGCGCAACCCUUAUCCUUUGUUGCCAGCGGUCCGGCCGGGAACUCAAAGGAGACUGCCAGUGAUAAACUGGAGGAAGGUGGGGAUGACGUCAAGUCAUCAUGGCCCUUACGACCAGGGCUACACACGUGCUACAAUGGCAUAUACAAAGAGAAGCGACCUCGCGAGAGCAAGCGGACCUCAUAAAGUAUGUCGUAGUCCGGAUUGGAGUCUGCAACUCGACUCCAUGAAGUCGGAAUCGCUAGUAAUCGUAGAUCAGAAUGCUACGGUGAAUACGUUCCCGGGCCUUGUACACACCGCCCGUCACACCAUGGGAGUGGGUUGCAAAAGAAGUAGGUAGCUUAACCUUCGGGAGGGCGCUUACCACUUUGUGAUUCAUGACUGGGGUGAAGUCGUAACAAGGUAACCGUAGGGGAACCUGCGGUUGGAUCACCU
rnacentral:rRNA from 95 species